rnacentral:lncRNA from 1 species
CCUGAAAGCCUGGCAGGCCACCCUACUUCAGCUGCAUUCGGUCCAUACACUGAGGGUCUCAGUGGGGAAAAAGCAGAGUCAUUUUAAAGAAACAUGGAUCUUAGUUUCUAGAAGGUUUUUCCCCAUCUGGCAGACAAAUUUAUGCCUAUUCCACACACAGUUCUGGAGGCUGGGAGGUUCAAGAUCAAGAUGCAGGCAGAUUCAUCUCCUGGCCCUCGUGUGUGAUGUUCUCCUCCCUGUAUCCCAGCGGAUUAAGAUGCUCAUUUCUUAAAAUUCAGGGGAAAGAUGGACACUACCGGUUCCGUGGCCCAGGGUUUUGGAAGAGGCGGCCUCCGGAUGACUGGAUGCACUUCUCCCUGGGACUCACCCUGUGUCGUUACAGCUCGAGCUUACUGAAAAUAACAGACAGACACCUCCACUUGUCCCCUCCAACAGAGUGGCUGCACUGGCAGCUCUCUAAUGAGUUCUAACCCCAUAGGGGCAGUUAUGAAACUGAUGCAAAAAGGAUACAAUCAAGAUAGAAGUCAAUAAGGAGCACAGAAGGCAUGAGUAAGACUUGCAUCAGAGAGGCCAAAACCCAAAAUGCGCUGGGGGUUGUGGGAGCGGCUGAAGAGCCUGGAGAAGCCGCUUAUAGUCAUUUUAAGUCAGAUUAAAGGAGUGUGUUUGGCUGACGAGAGGACCCCAUGCUUGCAUGUAUGGAGCCUUAUCUCAGCUUCCAUACCUACAAAGGGGACAUGAUUGGUGUCUACCCCAGAGAGUGGUUUUAAGAAUUAAACAAAAUGACGUGUGUGAAA